CGCAGGCGCAGUGGGCCACGCGGGAGUCGCAGACCCUUGGCGCGAUAGCCAGGGCAAGUCCCGGCUUCCAGAAAAAAGAUCUUAUCUGCUGUGUGGAGAAUGGAUUGGAAAAGGAAGGAGACACUAUACAUCAGUAAACAGUUGAGAAGCCCAGAGGGCUUUCACAUCAGCCCCUGGGACCAAUCAAGCACUGAUCAACUCAGAUAUCUGGAUAGAUACCUAGCUGGGUAAAAGAAGACGCUCCUAGAAGGAGCUGACACUGGAUAACAACAUGGAAAGGAAUCCUCAGGAGAGCAGGAAAGGUCUCACCCACAAAGCAGUCCCCCGGGUUGUUGGCCUGCUGCUCGCCGUGGCCCUCAUGAAUGUGCUUCUUUACCUCUGCCUCAACCAAUUUUUCAUUUUCCCUCAACGAUCUACUGAGGAUCCCAGGUCAUGUCCUUAUGGUUACUUCAGAAUGGGACAGAUGAAAGACUGCUCACCUUGGCUAUCCUGUGAGGAGCUGAGGACAGAAGUAAGGCAGUUAAAGUGCAUUGGGGAAGGAGCUGUGAAGAGAGUAAGU